GAUGAACGCUGGCGGCGUGCUUAACACAUGCAAGUCGAACGGAAAGGCUCCUGCGUGCGGUGGUUCGCGAGUGGCGAACGGGUGAGUAACACGUGGGUGAUCUGCCCUGCACUUCGGGAUAAGCCUGAGUAACUGGGUCUAAUACCGGAUAGGACUAUGGUUUGGAUGCCAUUGUGGAAAUUUUUGUCGGUGUGGGAUGAGCUCGCGGCCUAUCAGCUUGUUGGUGGGUUAAUUUCCUACCAAGGCGUCGACGGGUAGCCGGCCUGAGAGGGUGUACGGCGACAAUGGGACUGAGAUACGGCCCAGACGGCUACGGGAGGCAGCAGUGGGGAAUAUUGCACAAUGGGCGCAAGCCUGAUGCAGCGACGCCGCGUGGGGGAUGACGGCCCUCGGGUUGUAAACUCCUUACGCUAGGGACGAAGCGCAAGUGACGUUACCUGGAGAAGAAGCACCGGCUAACUACGUG
rnacentral:rRNA from 1 species